GAUGAACGCUGGCGGCGUGCCUAACACAUGCAAGUCGAACGGAGCCCAGCCUUUAAGACCUUCGGGUCUACGAGGGGAAGACUGAGUGGCGGACGGGUGAGUAACACGUGGGCAACCUGGCUCCUAGAGGGGGAUAACAGAGAGAAAUUUCUGCUAAUACCGCAUAAGCACACACUGCCGCAUGGCAGAGGGUGAAAAGAGAAUCGGCAUGGGAUGGGCCCGCGUCGGAUUAGCCAGUUGGCAGGGUAAGAGCCUACCAAAGCGACGAUCCGUAGCCGAUCUGAGAGGAUGAACGGCCACAUUGGGACUGAGACACGGCCCAGACUCCUACGGGAGGCAGCAGUGGGGAAUAUUGCACAAUGGGGGGAGGCCUGAUGCAGCAACGCCGCGUGAGUGAAGAAGUAUUUCGGUAUGCAAAGCUCUAUUAGCAGGGAAGAUAAUGACAGUACCGGAAGAAGAAGCCCCGGCUAACUACGUG
rnacentral:rRNA from 1 species